rnacentral:misc_RNA from 1 species
UCAACCCUCAAGCCCCGGCUUGGUGUUGGAGGCCUGGCGGGGGUUUCGACCCCGGCCGCUCCCAAAGACAAUGACGGCGUCCGGUGGACCCCUGGUACAAUGAGCUUUUUGCAAGGCACGUAUCGGUCGCGGUCCCCGGAGGCUGGUCUCAACUUCCCCCCUCAGGGGAACUCAUAUCAA